rnacentral:lncRNA from 1 species
GCCCAAAUUGCUUUUCCAAUUCGCCCGUCUUCUUGGCUUGAUUUUUCACCUCUUUGUUUCGGUUUUCUACAUCCUGGUUCAAAGAGGUGAGUAACUUAUUAAACAUAUCAUUAUCCAAAGAUAUACCUGAAUUGAAUUGGGCAGAUUGUUGUGGUAGCUGUGAUGGUUCAUAUGGCAAGUGAUAGAACUCCUCUUCUUGCUGCCAAUAUCCAUCUUGUUGGAAUUGUUGCGGUUUUCCACACAUGUAAACUGAAUAAUCUCUCCAAUCCGAAUGGUAAGCGUUGGAAAACAUGUUGUCCCCUGAUUGGCUAUGGCCUUGAUAAUCCCAAGCAUCUUCAUUCGCAGCGAAUUGAGAACAUUGAUGAGUUGGAUAUCCUUGCCCAUAGGACACACCAU